GGACCAAUCGUCGGGUAGUAAAAGUCUCACGUUUGCCGCGGUGCUAAUGUCUCUCCCGUUGGUUGUCCGCCGGGGUACUGCUAGACUCACGCAUGUCCCUCAGGUUUCCCGUCGGGCUCGGUGCACGCGCACCAACAAUGGUGCACGUCACAGCCAUGUCCACGUCCUAGACAUCCAACUCACGCAUCCUAGCGCGACUCAAGCUGCCGAGCCAUCUACGUUAGCACCUGCAACGGCCACGUCCCCCCAUCAGUAGACAGGCGCAGGAGCAAAGAAUUCUCCACAGCCGCCGCGCUAUUCCGCACCACCUGUCUAGCACGCAUGGCCCACAGCCACCAACACACAUGCUUGCCAGCUCAACAGCCGCCGCAGUACAGCCUGCAUGGGGGCGGGGGGGCGGGGGGCAGGGGGGCAGUUGUUGUUGUUAUUGUGCCUGACCCAAACCUGCCAUCCCAACCCUGACGACCCAACCCUGACGACCCAACCCUGACGACCCCUGCCCCAACCCUGCCCAAAACCUGCCAUCCCAAACCUGACGACCCAAACCUGACGACCCAACCCUGACCCCAUUACCCCCCCCCCCCCCACUCACCAGAACGGGCGUCUCGAUGUUGCGGGGGUUUGGGGCAUGAUCGCGGGCCUUGGGCGACUCGCGCGCUGCAGGCAGGCAGGCAGCAGGCAGGCAGGGCGGGCACGCUUCAGUGACAGCAUUUCUACUAUAGGCUCUGUAGGUGCUAAUGGGCUUUAGCAAGCAACGUGGUGCACGAGCACCGAUUGGGGCUCGAUCUGAGUAACACGCAUACUGGUCCGACCACCCACAUCCUUGCACGCUCGUACAGGGAAGGACCACGCAUUCGCCCAACACGCGCCACCAGCCACCGCUCGUGCAAGUUUGCAACGGGGGGGGGGGGGGUACCACGCCUGCCUACACACGGGCUGUGCGGCCCACUGACAAGUCCAACAUCGGCUUGUCGGACCCGGCCACCGUCCAUCCACACGCUCAGAGGCUCAGAGCCAGGGCGAGGGCCCAGCCAGGGCAAGGUGUGGCCGGACCUGUGUACGGGGGUGUGGAUGGGGGUCAUGUGGAGGAAGGCUAGGCCAG
rnacentral:lncRNA from 1 species